CUACGGGAUGCAGCAGCAGGGAAUAUUGCACAAUGGACGGAAGUCUGAUGCAGCGACGCCGCGUGGAUGAUGAAGGCCCUCGGGUUGUAAAAUCCUUUUCAGGGGGACGAGGAAGGACGGUACCCUUGGAAUAAGCGUCGGCUAACUACGUGCCAGCAGCCGCGGUAAGACGUAGGACGCAAGCGUUAUCCGGAUUUACUGGGCGUAAAGCGUCUGUAGGCGGAAUGGUAAGUUGGACGUGAAAGCUCCGGGCUCAACUCGGAGAGGUCGUUCAAUACUGCCAAACUAGAGGGCAUCAGAGGAGCGUGGAAUUUCCGGUGUAGCGGUAAAAUGCGCAGAUAUCGGAAGGAACACCAAUGGCGAAGGCAGCGCUCUGGGAUGAACCUGACGCUAAGAGACGAAAGCUAGGGGAGCGAACAGGAUUAGAUACCCCUGUAGUC
rnacentral:rRNA from 1 species